GAAAAACAUGAAUGUCGAGCG
rnacentral:miRNA from 1 species